GGGCGAGUGGCGAAACUGGCAGACGCGCACGCUUCAGGAGCGUGUGGGGCAACCCAUGGAGGUUCAAAUCCUCUCUCGCCCACUA
rnacentral:tRNA from 1 species